CCCUUCUGCUUGCGCCGGUAUCCCCUCCAGUCCUCUCCUUCAACCUUCUCUCUCAUUUCCACUCCUCUCCUCUCUUCGCCUCUGACUUGUUAAGAGCGACAUCAAGAAGAAUUGUUUUAGCUACAAAGACGCAGUCGAUAUCGACCAUGGCGAAUACGAGUGAGGAGAACAGUGGCAAUUUAAAGAAACAGUUGGCGAAAUUGUUUGAAGCAUCUCUUAGAGAGACUGUCCCUAGUGAGCACGAUGUUGAGCCUUUGGUUGCUGCCUGCACUGCCAAAUUCGGCGAUUAUCAAUGUAAUAAUGCCAUGAGCCUUUGGUCUAAAAUAAAAGGAAAAAAUACUGAUUUUAAGGGCCCUCCAGCAGUUGGACAGGCAAUAAUGAAAAAUCUUCCUCCGUCUGAAAUGAUAGAAUCUUGCUCUGUGGCAGGACCUGGUUUUGUGAAUGUUGUUUUGUCAAAGACCUGGUUGGCUGAGAAAAUUCAAAAUAUGCUAGUUGAUGGUAUUGAUACUUGGGCGCCCAAGUUUUCGAUCAAAAGGGCUGUGGUUGACUUUUCCUCACCCAAUAUUGCAAAAGAAAUGCAUGUUGGCCAUUUAAGAUCCACUAUUAUUGGUGACACACUAGCCCGAAUGCUUGAAUUCUCAAAGGUUGAUGUGCUUCGACGAAAUCAUGUUGGUGAUUGGGGGACACAGUUUGGUAUGUUGAUUGAAUUCCUCUUCGAAAAGUUCCCAAACUUUGAAGAUGUUAAUGAAAGAGCCAUUGGAGAUCUACAGGCAUUCUAUAAGGCAUCAAAACAGAGGUUUGACACUG
rnacentral:misc_RNA from 1 species